UACGAAGGGGGCUAGCGUUGCUCGGAAUCACUGGGCGUAAAGGGUGCGUAGCGGGUCUUUAAGUCAGGGGUGAAAUCCUGGAGCUCAACUCCAGAACUGCCUUUGAUACUGAAGAUCUUGAGUUCGGGAGAGGUGAGUGGAACUGCGAGUGUAGAGGUGAAAUUCGUAGAUAUUCGCAAGAACACCAGUGGCGAAGGCGGCUCACUGGCCCGAUACUGGCGCUGAGGCACGAAAGCGUGGGGAGCAAACAGG
rnacentral:rRNA from 1 species